GAAGCAGUCUUUUUUUUUUGUGGGCUUAUCUCCAGAGAGAUAGCCAUCUCAGGAGGCACUGACCCAAGCACCCAGGAAUGCCAUGUUGGCAGAAGGAGGAUACAAAAGGGACCAACAACUGUGAGAGUCGGCAAUGUUGCUGCUGCUCUCCCUCUGUGCUUUUGCCUCAGACCAUCGGAACAGCAUGCAACAGGAUACUGCUGGAUCUUGGUGUAUUCUCCUCCAGAAGCUGGCAGAUCGUGGCUUGGACAGAUACAUUCUUCACUGGGUAAGGAACUAGCUGGAGGGCCGGGCCCAGAGAGUGGUAGUGAAUGGAGUUAAAUCCAGCUGGCGACCAGUCACGAGUGGUGUUCCCCAGGGGUCGGUGCU
ensembl:lncRNA